rnacentral:rRNA from 1 species
GAUGAACGCUAGCGGCAGGCUUAACACAUGCAAGUCGAGGGGUAGAGGAAGCUUGCUUCCUUGAGACCGGCGCACGGGUGCGUAACGCGUAUGCAAUCUACCUUAUACAGGGGGAUAGCCCAGAGAAAUUUGGAUUAAAUACCCCGUAGUAUAAUUGAAUGGCAUCAUUUAAUUAUUAAAGUUCCAACGGUAUAAGAUGAGCAUGCGUCCCAUUAGCUAGUUGGUGUGGUAACGGCACACCAAGGCGACGAUGGGUAGGGUCCUGAGAGGGAGAUCCCCCACACUGGUACUGAGACACGGACCAGACUCCUACGGGAGGCAGCAGUGAGGAAUA